rnacentral:rRNA from 1 species
CCUACGGGCGGCAGCAGUGAGGAAUAUUGGUCAAUGGGCGGGAGCCUGAACCAGCCAAGUCGCGUGAGGGAAGACGGUCCUAUGGAUUGUAAACCUCUUUAGGCGGGGAGCAAUGCCGGGCACGCGUGCCCGGAGGGAGAGAACCCGCAGAAUAAGCAUCGGCUAACUCCGUGCCAGCAGCGGCGGUAAUCAGGAGGAUCCGAGCGUUAUCCGGAUUUUUUGGGUUUAAAGGGGGCGUAGGCGGGUUGAUAAGUCAGAGGUGAAAUGUCGGGGCUCAACCCCGAAACUGUCUCUAAUACUGUUGGACUAGAGAAGAGUUGAGGUAGGCGGAAUGCAUGGUGUAGCGGUGAAAUGCUUAGAGAUCAUACAGAACACCGAUUGCGAAGGCAGCUUACCAAACUAUAACUGACGUUGAGGCACGAAAGCGUGGGUAGCAAACAGGAUUAGAUACCCCAGUAGUC